AACGUGUAAGUACUCGAGUUGACGAUUAUGAAGCAAGCAAGGUGUGUAAGAGAGAGAGAGAGAGAGAGAGAGAGAGAGAGAGAGAGAGAGAGAGAGAGUUGUGUUGUGAGGAGCAGUUGUGUGUGUGUGUGUGUGUGUGUGUGUGUGUGUGUGUGUGUGUGUUGUGUCCUGGUGACGUAUAUGGUUGUGUGCGUGUGCGUGUGUGUGUGUGUGUGUGUGUGAAUACAGAUCAAGAUGUGACGUAAACUAGAUCGAGCCAAUAGUUUAAUCAUCACCAUCACCACCAACAUCACCACCACCACCACCACCACCAUUAACUUUCUCACCAUCCACCUGUUCUUUGUGUUAUUAAUAAUCGCCAAGGACAGGUAAGUUAAGGGCCGUAUAGGCGUGGCACGGAGGCAGGUGUGGCUAGGGACAAAAAGGGAAGCGGCAGAUGUUAGAUGACUGCCUGAUGCCCGCUUAGGGAGGGAGGGAGGGAGGGAGGUGGGUGGAGGGAGGGAGGGAGAGAGGGAGUAAGUAGGAGGGGAGGUAGACAAGGGAAUGAGUGAGAGAUAUCAACAUACACUAACACAUUAACAUAAACACACACAUACUGAUACCAACACAUACUAACACUAACGCACACACACUAACACAUUAACACUAACACACACAUACUGAUACCAACACAUACUUACACACACACACACACACACACACACACACACACACACAGUAAUGCUAAAGUUACCCACACUAAUACUAACACUAACACACUAAUACUACUACACUCACACUACAUCAACACAUAUGCUAACACUAAAACACACUAAAUACUGACACUAACACACAUACUAACACACACAAGCACUCCCUUCCUUUCCCUCAGCUAAAGUUUAUAUCCAAGAAGACAUUCCGAAAUAUAACCUGACACACACACACACACACACACACACACACACACACACACACACACACACACACACACACACACACACACACACACACACACACACACACCCUAUCUCUUCCCUUCCCCCAUUCAUCCCUCCCUUCUCUCUUCCCUUCCUUCAUCUUUCGUUCCUCUCUCCCUUCCCUUCCCCCAUCCCAUAACCCUCUUCCUUUACCAUCCCCUUCCUCUUCCGCUCCCGCAUCACCAACACUAUCAUUCCCUUCCAUUCUCCCAGCUACACUAUUACUCGUAUCCCCAAGAAAGUAUACCCCUUCCUUUCCUUUCUCUUGACCCCCUCGGUAUUCCUUUCUUCCCCACUGCUUUCACCUCGACGCAUUUGGUGAUCUUACUUGCCUUCUGCUGCUCUCGCCAUGAUGGACAGACGAGAGAGAGAGAGAGAGAGAGAGAGAGAGAGAGAGAGAGAGAGAGAGAGAGAGAGAGAGAGAGAGAGAGAGAGAGAGAGAGAGAGAGAGAGAGAGAGAGAGAUUGUAACCCUUUUCAUUGGUUGUUUUAGAGGCAGUAGUGGAUAAGGAGACGAGUGAGGAAGGGGAAAGAAAGGAAAGGAAAGGAAAGGAUAUAAAAAGAAGGGAAAGGAUAGGAUAGGAUAGGAAAGAAUAGAAGAGGAAAGGAAAGAAAAGGAGAGGAAAGGAAGGAAGAGAUAGGAAAGAAAAAAAAUAAGAAAAAAGAAAAAGAAAGAAUGUAGGGGAAAGGAAGGAAGAAAAAAAUGAAGGAUAGAAAGAAGUAAUUAGGAAAGGAGGAAAGGGAGGACACGAAGACAAGAAAGGCAGAAAAUGAGAGAUACUAAAUUAAAAAAGAAAAGAAAAUGAUGCAAUAGAUGAAGAUAAAAAUAGGACACAAUAGAGGGAAGUGAUAGAUGUUAAAGAAGAAAAGGAAAGGAAAAGAAAAUAAAGGAAUGGACACAAGGGCAAGAAAGUCAGAUUGUGAGAGAUACUAAAUUAGAACAAAACAACAAGAAAAUGGUGCAAUGGACGAAGAGAGAGAUAAAAAAAGGACACAAGAGAGGGGGAACUGAUAUGAUAAGGAGUCAUUAGCAAGAUACCAUAACAAAGUAGAAACAGAGGCAGCAGCAGCAGGAGGAGGAAGAAGAAGAAGAAGAAGAAGAAGAAGAAGAAGAAGAAGAAGAAGAAGAAGAAGAAGAAGAAGAAAAAUAGAAAAAAAGAAUGAAAGAAGAAGGUAGAGGAGGAGGAGAAAAAGGAAGAGGAGGAACCUAACAUACAAAAAAAAAUACAGAGAAAAACAAACCUUAUACCCAACUGGAACAACAACAACAACAACAACAACAACAACGAGCAAGAUGGUAGAGGACUGAGAGGGGAGGAGGCGGAAGAACCUAACCCCCCCCCCCCCACCAACCGCCAAAAAAAAAAAAAAAAAAUACACAGAAAAGAAAAAAAUAACACUGAACAUCACCUCAAACUUGACAAAGAGAACAAACAGGACGAGACAAGACGAAAAUAAUGCACAGGACGUUAGAUAACAACAACAACAACAACAACAACAACAACAACAACAACAACACCUACAACAACAACAACAACAACAAGUAUACCACCGUACCAUAAAAACAAGAAGAGGUGGGCAUUUAAGAGGCAUUAGAACAUAGGAGGCAAGGGAGGGGGAAGGAAGAGGCAGGUUAAAGGAGGGGGAGGGAUGAGGGGCGGGGGGAGGGGGGGCAGACUCGCUCGGAGGUGACCUUAAGGACAGACAAUUUACGACGCGGGAAAGGUAAAAGAGGAAAGGUGACGACGACACACACACACACACACACACACACACACACACACACACACACACACACACACACACACAGAGAAGGGGUUAAUGAAUGGAAUAAGGGAGUGGGGACGAAUUCAUAAACAGGUGGAAGGAAGGAAUGGAUAGAUAUGCAGGUAGAUGAAUGGGUAGAUAGAGGUAGAAGGGAGUGAAGGACGAAUAGAUAAAUGGGAAGAAGAGAUGGAAGAGGAAUAGAGGUAGAAGAAGAAAGACGAAUGGAUGGGAAGAAUAGGAAAGAUAAAUAUACAGAAAGAUAGAAGAUAUUGGAAGAAUGGAGGAAGGGCAGAAGAUAACGAGAUAAACAUUAGGAAGAAAAGGAAACAUCGAUAAAGGGAAGGAUAGAAAGGCAGAAGAAGAAGAAAAGGAAGUGUAAGAAGAAUGAAUGGAGGGAAGAAAACAUGACAUACAGGAGGAAGGAAAAAAAUAAAUAAAUAGAGAGACAGAGAAAUAGAAAAAGAAGAUGUAGGAAGAAUGAAUGGAGGAAAGAAUGAGAAAAAAGAAAAAAUGGAUAGAUAGGUAGAGAGGUAGAAGAGAAAGAAGAAGGAGAUGUAGGAAGAAUGAAUGGAGGAAAGAAUGAGAAAAAAGAAAAAAUAGAUAGAUAGAAGAGAAAGAAGAAGGAGAUGUAGGAAGAAUGAAUGGAGGAAAGAAUGAGAAAAAAGAAAAAAAUAGAGAGGUAGAAGAGAAAGAAGAAGGAGAUGUAGGAAGAAUGAAUGGAGGAAAGAAUGAGAAAAAAGAAAAAAUAGAUAGAUAGGUAGAGAGGUAGAAGAGAAAGAAGAAGGAGAUGUAGGAAGAAUGAAUGGAGGAAAGAAUGAGAAAAAAGAAAAAAUAGAUAGAUAGGUAGAGAGGUAGAAGAGAAAGAAGAAGGAGAUGUAGGAAGAAUGAAUGGAGGAAAGAAUGAGAAAAAAGAAAAAAUAGAUAGAUAGAAGAGAAAGAAGAAGGAGAUGUAGGAAGAAUGAAUGGAGGAAAGAAUGAGAAAAAAGAAAAAAAUAGAGAGGUAGAAGAGAAAGAAGAAGGAGAUGUAGGAAGAAUGAAUGGAGGAAAGAAUGAGAAAAAAUAAAAAAUAGGUAGAGAGGUAGAAGAGAAAGAAGGAGAUGUAGGAAGAAUGAAUGGACAUACAUGAGAAAGAAGAAAAAAUAGAUAGAUCGAUAGAAAGGUAGAAGAAGAAGGAGAAGUAGGAAGAAAGAAUGAAGGGAGGAAGGAAAGGAGACAAAUACUUGCUGUUGUCAUCUCAAGGAUUUUUAAGUCCACCUGGUGUCCUGUGAGCUAGCCAAGGACUCUCCAUGCUGGGGGUUUACGUGGGGGAGGGAGUGGGGAAGGGAGAGAAAGAGGGGGGGUGGAGUUAUUAAGGGGAGGGGUAUGGGUAGGAGGCGAGAAGGGAGUUGU